AUGUAGUGGUGCCGCUUUAGCUUGUGCUUUCUGGAUGAACUGAAGUGAUGAAGUGAUGGUGGUGCCGUGGUGCUAAGCUGAUGAAUUUAUAGGCGAGGGAGAACAAUGCAGUUUAGGUCCAGCUACCAUGACAAGUUGGGAAGGUACAGAGCCAUGAGCUCAGAAAAUGCAAUGCUGUAAGUGCAAGGGCAAGUAGUGUGAUCUUGAUUAGAUUUCUCUGGGGCCAUCUGUUUGCCACUUGUUGUGAACGAUGCUUUUGGCUAUGCUUGGACAAUACAGUAUGCUGCCAUAUUCACCUGAUUUAGUGGCAAGCAUAAGAAGCAUAUAAUGGAAUGUGGGGACCAUGUGUAGAUUGUGUCCAGUUCUGUUUGUGAUUGUGCAAUGAGAUACCAACUAAUUUUUUUGGGUGCUUGGUAAUAUCAUAAUGAUAAGAAGUACAAUAUUUAGCGGUCCCUUAAAAGAAGUCCUAUAUAGAGUGGCCCCUGAGAUGGAGAUAUCUAGUCUGACAGUUGUUCAUGACUUCAUUCCCAUCACAAAUCAUUGUUGAGCAACUUGCUUGAUCGAAAAUCUUCCUUUAUUUGAUGGUCUCCUUGAUUAGUGAUAUCCAAUGCAACUAAUUAUUACUGAGUAUUGACUAGAUGAUGAUCAGUGAACUGGUAAUGACAAGUUAGGAAUUUUCUUACAGUUUUAUAUUUUGAAGUUUUGACUGCCUAGAACAGGAGGGAUGAUAUGCAGAAAGCUCAACAAGAACAUAUCCGAAGGAACUAAUACAUGUGGCCCAGCAUUCUUGGACAGAGGCAGUGAAGAUUCCCCACUUUGUAGGGGAUCUAAGCAAAUUGAUUGCUAAGGCCCAAGAAGGUGGACACCGAGAGAAGCCUGGCUAUGCAAGGGGCAAGCAAAUGAUAUAAUUGGUUUUUAUGAUCUUUUUGAGGCAAAAAUGAUAGAAUUGGUGGUUCAAUUGCUUGGGGUGGUGGUUCAUGUGUUAAUUUGAUAGGGUGAACCCCUAAGCAAUUCGGUCCAAACUCCACAGCCAUAGGUACAAUAUAACUACUCCUCUCCCUUGGUCUCCUCUAGGUAGGCAUUAUGGUUUUCAUGGUUAUUCGGUGUAUCUCUUAAUUGUUUUGUUAAACCGUGCACGAUUUAGUAAAUCAAAUUGUGUGCGAUGGUUCCCUUCAUCGCACAACGUAGGUCUGGUGAA